rnacentral:rRNA from 1 species
AUUGAACGCUGGCGGAAUGCUUUACACAUGCAAGUCGAACGGCAGCACGGGGCAACCUGGUGGCGAGUGGCGAACGGGUGAGUAAUACAUCGGAACGUGCCCAAUCGUGGGGGAUAACGUAGCGAAAGUUACGCUAAUACCGCAUACGAUCUACGGAUGAAAGCGGGGGAUCGCAAGACCUCGCGCGAAUGGAGCGGCCGAUGUCAGAUUAGGUAGUUGGUGGGGUAAAGGCUCACCAAGCCAACGAUCUGUAGCUGGUCUGAGAGGACGACCAGCCACACUGGGACUGAGACAGGGCCCAGACUCCUACGGGAGGCAGCAGUGGGGAAUUUUGGACAAUGGGCGCGAGCCUGAUCCAGCCAUUCCGCGUGCAGGAUGAAGGCCUUCGGGUUGUAAACUGCUUUUGUACGGAACGAAACGGUUCUCUCUAAUACAGGGGGCUAAUGACGGUACCGUAAGAAUAAGCACCGGCUAACUACGUGCCAGCCGCCGCCGUAAAAC